rnacentral:misc_RNA from 1 species
UAGCGAAGCGCCAGCUACAGC